rnacentral:rRNA from 1 species
AUUGAACGCUGGCGGCAGGCCUAACACAUGCAAGUCGAGCGAGUGGCGGACGGGUGAGUAAUGUCUGGGAAACUGCCCGAUGGAGGGGGAUAACUACUGGAAACGGUAGCUAAUACCGCAUACCAUCGGAUGUGCCCAGAUGGGAGUAGCUAGUAGGUGGGGUAACGGCUCACCUAGGCGACGAUCCCUAGAUGGUCUGAGAGGAUUACCAGCCACACUGGAACUGAGACACGGUCAAGACUCCUACGGGAGGCAGCAGUGGGGAAUAUUGCACAAUGGGCGCAAGCCUGAUGCAGCCAUGCCGCGGGUAUGAAGAAGGCCUUAGGGUUUUAAAGUACUUUCAGCGGGGAGUCGUUACCCGCAGAAGAAGCACCGGCUAACUCCGUGCCAGCAGCCGCGGUAAUUC